rnacentral:rRNA from 1 species
CCCUUAGAUGUUCUGGGCCGCACGCGUGCUACACUGAGUGGAUCAGCGGGUCAGGUUGCGCGAAAGCGUUUCCUAAUCUUUAAAUCCGCUCGUGAUGGGGAUUGACGGUUGCAAUUUUCUGUCAUGAACGAGGAAUACCUUGUAAGCGCGGGUCAUCAUCCCGCGCUGAAUACGUCCCUGCCCUUUGUACACACCGCCCGUCGCUCCUACCGAUUGAAUGGUCCGGUGAAAUCUUGGGAUUUUGUUUUGUUUGCAUUUAUUUGUAUCGAGACGAGAGAACUUGAGUAAACCUUACCAUUUAGAGGAAGGUGAAGUCGUAACA